rnacentral:rRNA from 1 species
UACGGAGGGUGCAAGCGUUAUCCGGAUUCACUGGGUUUAAAGGGUGCGUAGGUGGGUUGAUAAGUCAGUGGUGAAAUCCCCGAGCUUAACUUGGGAACUGCCAUUGAUACUAUUGAUCUUGAAUACCGUGGAGGUCAGCGGAAUAUGUCAUGUAGCGGUGGAAUGCUUAGAUAUGACAUAGAACACCAAUUGCGAAGGCAGCUGGCUACGCGAAUAUUGACACUGAUGCACGAAAGCGUGGGGAUCAAACAGG